rfam:Terrisporobacter sp. 08-306576 Contig133, whole genome shotgun sequence.
AUCUUAUCAAGAGUGAUGGAGGGAAUAGGCCCAAAGAAGUCCAGCAACCUAUAUUAGAUAGGUGCUAAAUCCUACUUAUGGAAACAUAAGAAAGAUAAGAG